ensembl:snRNA U12 U12 minor spliceosomal RNA
AUGCCUUAAACUUAUGAAUAAGGAAAAUGACUAUUUGGGGUGAUGCCUGAAUCCUCACUGCUAAUGUGAAACAAACAAAUUUUUGAGUGGGUUAAGGUCGCUCCUAAGGUGACCUGCCUACUUUGCAGGAUGCCUCGGAGCUGCAAUCUGCCUG